UUAUAGUCAUUGUUCGUAUCACUAAAACUCAAAUUCUGAAAUGGGAAAAAAUCUCCGAUUGAGGACUAAAGGACUAAAGAACGCCAGCUAUAUAUAUAUUUAACGCCAGUCACUGACGUUACAUUUUAAUUCUUAGAAUGUAUAGUGUGAGUGAAACCUUCUACUAUAAGUAGCUGAAAAUAGGAAAAAUCAUAAACAAAAAUAUAAGAACAACAUUUUUCCUUAUAACUAUAUAUUUUAAUUAUACUUAAAUUAUUUUGAUAUUUAUUUUCCUCUCGGUACUAACAUUAUAACCCUAACAUUUUAAUUAUUUGAGGUUAUGACAAUAAGCCGUUCAAAAAAGAAAAGAGGUUAUCACAAUAAAUCAAUUAAGUAUAUUGACAUACACUAAGAAAAACUUAUAUAGAUGUGCUUGAUAUAAUUCAUAAAUGCACAUAACAACACAUGCAGCAUACAGUGUAUAUAUUGCGUAAUAUCACAUUUAUCACCCUUGAUCAAUUAGAAUCGUUAGAUCAAAUGUAUUUUUCUAAUUUUUCAUUUUCUUUGAUUUUGUUUUCUUCAUCCUUCUUAUUUUAUUUGAUAUGUAUCUUUUAAAUCAAAUAUAAUUCAAUCAGAUAAUUAUGUUAAUAAAAACAUACAUGUUUUUCUGCAUAUGUGAAAAAAUAAUUAUGGAUAUAAAUUCUUCGUAAAAUAAACAACUUUUUGUUAAUGGGAAUGUCAAAUUAUAGUCUAUAUUAAUUUUAUAGAAUAACACGUAUUUAUAAAUACUUUAUAACUACUAUUUUGCUGUGUUCUCUCUCCUUCCUCCACUUCGUGUUGUGAUAUUAAUUUGAAUCGUUUGUCUAUAUUAUCUAUUUAAUAAAUCCAAUAUAGUACAGCACAUUAGUAUUAUAUAUCAUGUGUUGUAAAAAUAUCUCGCGCGGAGAAAGAAAUAAUCGUCCGUUUUCGAGCCAAAUUGUCACAUCCAACAAUUUAUUUUAUUACAUGGUUAGUUUCGAAAACAAGCAAAAAUUAAAAAGUCAAUAUGUUUAUAUUUUGUUCUUGUUUUUACCAACGGUUAAUAUUUACUUGUUCAAUAUGUACUAUUUUUUUUUUGUAACAUUCAAUGCAUCACUAUAUUGAGCAAGAUAUCGAUAUAAUAUGCCCUUUU